CGAUGCCGUACAGGCGAUCGCCGGUCGCGGCACCCUCGGGUGCUCGCGACGGGAGGAAAGUCCGAGCUCCGCAGAGUGCGAUGCCGGGUAACGCCCGGUCGCGGAAACGCGAAGGAAAGUGCAACAGAGAAAGACCGCUCGCCUCGGGAUCUCCCGCGGCGGGUAAGGGUGAAACGGCGGGGUAAGAGCCCACCGCGCGUCCGGUAACGGAGGCGGCAAGGCAGACCCCAUCGGGAGCAAGGCCACGUAGGCGGGCGUGCGGGAAACCGCGAAGGGCGACUCGCCCGAGCCCGCGGGUAGGCUGCUCGAGGCGUCCGGUAACGGCCGCCCUAGAGGAAUGACCGCCGCCGUUCGGAGGGCGAUCUCCGGACGGAACAGAACUCGGCUUACGGACGACGUCGACCG
rnacentral:RNase_P_RNA from 1 species